UUGGUGCAAAAGUAAUUGCGGUUUUUGCCAUUGACCAUAAUGGCAAAAACAACAGUUACUUUUGCACCAA
ensembl:miRNA